UGGAUGGGCAAUUGCAAAAGGCGCUUUCAACUUUAAAAUGCAAUAAUUUUAUUAUUUCAAUUUGGAGGCUGAGGUACCAGUUUCUAACUAAAAAGUAACAUUGGAUAAUAUAACAAUUGUUUUCAAUGUUAACUAAAAGAGUUCCCCCAAACCAGAGCUAGAAUUGGAAGAAGGAACACCCACAUGGCAUGUGUGGGUGGCUGGAGUGAGGAAGGAGAGGCUGGAAGAUACCCACUGCCAGUGGGCGGGAGAAACAUCACUGCUGCCCGAGGGUUCCAGCCUUCUGCCUGCCCAGGCACUAGGGAUUCUGGGCUAACUGUCCUCUGGGGGAGUGUGGGGAGCUUUUCAGAGGAGUUCUAGGGAAGAGAUGCCUGCCCAGCGGUGGGAGAGAAAACUAACGUUUUAAGUAUCAAGGAUGAUGGGUCUCCUUCACCCUAGAAGAGAGCUACAAGGAAACGGCAUGAGUUAUUCUGUAGUUACUUUGGCUUCCUGGCCUUUGACCAGGAGCUGACUCUAAGGCUGAACCACAUGAACCGUCUCAUCAUAAGUUAAAAUUUCUAAUUAUAACUUCGUAGUCUGAAGAUAAGGGACACUGGUAUGGCUGUCUUAGCCACCGUUACCUUCCAAAAAGAGAAAAUGCCAGCCUACUCAGAGUGGGCCGCUGCCGCGAGGGCUGAUCACACUUUUUCUCCACUUUCUAAUCUGUCAGGUUCUAUAGUUUUUAUCUACAGUGAUCACACUCGCCUCAUCUGGGAAGGACACCCACGUGCUCCCACACUGCCACAAUCUUGGCUCACUGAAACCUCCGCCUUCUGGACUCAAGUGAUCCUCCUGCCUCAGCCCCCUGAGUAGCUGGGACUACAGGUGUGCACCAACAUGCUCAGCUAAUUUUUGUAUUUUUAGUAGAGUCAGGGUUUCACUAUGUUGGCCAGGCUGGUCUUGAACUCCUGCCCAUCUUCAUCCCAUACCAGGGCUUUGUCCUGCUGCAGUGCAAAGGACAAUUCUCUCCUGGCUUCUCCCCUACCUGGGCAGGGGCAGAGUCUCAUCUCCUUACUGGACAGAGGGCUUGGUGCAGAUCCCAAAGCCAUUAACAGAGGUAUCUGCAGGCCAGGAAAAUAAAGUAAACAAGAGACAUGAGCCAGGGGGACAGCAAUGAACACCGAGGCCCCAUCUUGCCCAAGGGGACAAGAUGGUUACUGCUAAUGGGGGGGGGGCCCAAUGGUGCCAGAACUUCUAACUCUUACUUUCAAGAAGUCAGAAAUCUUAAUCUUCCUAAUCUUUAAAUGUGACAAGUAACUGUAAUUUUUUUCUCAAUCCCAUAUGGCCAAAGUCAAGACCUAGCAGCCUGCAGAGUAUGGAUGGGGCAUUUGAUAAAGUUGGGGGAUGGAUGCCCCGCACUUCUUCCUAUUUCUGAUCCUGCCACUGUCCAGGCGCAGUGUGAGCAUCAGUCAUACAUGGAGGAGGAUGUCAUUCUGUUCAUCCCACAUCAUCACAAGGUACAUCAAAAGCUUCAAGGACACAUCUGCAGGUAUUUGAUACUGGCCUCUAUUUCCUAAUUCCUCUUUUUUCUAUAUUGGCACUGAGAUGAACAAAAAGUUUAGAAUCACAUGAUUGCAUUUUGAAUCUUUUGGAAAUAUUUUUUUUUAUUCCAGACUCUAUUACCAAUAACAGGCUUUUAUAAAAUCAAAAUAUAGAAACUACUGCUGAAAAGGUAUUUUGGGUGGCAUGAGAGUCCAAACGUCUUUUGAAAUAAGUGUUUUGUUUUUCUUUCAGAAAAUAACUCCAUAUAAAUAAAUAAACCAUUAUUCCAAGAACUAAAAAAAAAAAAAAAAAAAAAGGAAAAGAAAGGAAUGAAAACAGAGAAAAAACAUAAUCCACAAAACCACACAUUUCUUAACACUCCUGGGAUAAAGUAAAUUUUGUUUUUGCUAUGACUAUGUUUUGUUUAGCAAAAACAUUCCACAGCUCCAUUUAUUCCCUGGAAACGAAGCCCUUCAGACAUUUGCAAAGGGCCAAAGUGAGGUCUUUGCUAUUUCAAACUUGAUUAUUGGGAAAGUAUCAGCCUCCAACACAAGAAAGAAACCACCGCAUACAGCAACUGCCCAUUUCACUCAGCUCUGUAAAGCAGGAAACAGCAGGCUGAACUGCAACAGCUUCUAUUAUUUUGCCCAGAAAUCAUUUGUGACUUUAACCUAAUUAUUCAAAGUCUGACUUUGGUCUUCUAAUUACAUCCGCUAAUGGAUCUGUCAAUACGAAGGAGUGCAACAUGAGACAGACACCAAUUCCCUCGGGAAAUUUCCCUCACAGGUGAAGCUGAUAAUGUUACACUGCUCAACCAAAUCUCUCUUUUUUAAAAAGUUCCUUCAAGACUGCUAGUGCCAUAACAUCAAUCUGCCUGGGCUUUGCAGUAGAUCCAAUUUAGCAAAACACUAAAAUCAAUCACUUUUUGAUGCAGGACUUUUUAUUGUAUAGGUAGGAAAUAGGAGUCCAAUUUUUAAAAUAAUGUUUGCAGAAGACAAAGCCCAUGUCUUCUGUAUGUGCCAUUUCUAAAUCUGUGGAAUAAGUUAAAAUGUUUGUUCUAAGGGCUUUAAAAAUUUAGACUUCUGUCAUCUUCUCAUUAAACAAACUCAUGUAUCUGAAACUUAAAAAACAAAACAAAACAAAACAAAACAAAACACAUAUCCAGGCUCAGGAGACCACACCAUUAAAACACUAUUUUUAAAAUUUGAAGUGAAAUUUCCAUAACAUAAAAUUAAUCAUUUUAAAGUGAACUAUUUGGUGGCGUUUAGUAUCUUCAUGAUGUUGCACAACCAUCAGCUCUAUCUAUAGGUUAUGAAACAUUUUCAUCACCCCCAAAGGAAACUCCAUGUCCAUUAAGCAGUUACUCUUCCCAUUCCCCUCUCUCCCCGAGCCCUAGCAAUCAAUAACAUGCUUUCACAAAAAAAAACUAUUCUUUUUUUAAAUUUUAAUGGAUUUUUGUUGUGUAUAUUCAAGGUGUACAACAUGAUGCCUCAAUGUAUAUAUACUUAGUUCAAAUGAUUACUACAGUCAAGAAAACCAACAUAACCAUCAUCUCACAUAGUUAGUUUUCUUUUUUGUGCGUGGUAAGAGUACCUAAAAUCUAUUCCCUGAGCAGAUCUCCAGUACGCGAUGUUAUUAGCUAUAGUCCCCAUGUUGUACAUUAGAUCUCUAGAUUUACUUAUCAUACAUAACUGCAACUUUGUACCUUUGACCUACAACUCCCCAUCUCCCUGCAUCUCCCUGACCCCCCAAACUACAGUUCUACUCUCUGUUUCUGUGUAUUUGAUUUUUAGUUUAAGAUUGCACAUAUAUGCAAGAUUACGUAGUAUUUUUCCUUCUGUGUCUGGCUUAUUUCACUUAGCAGAAUGUCCUCUAGAUUCAGCCAUGCUGUUGUAAAUGGAGGAUCAUCUUCUUUUUUAAGGCUGAAUAAUACUCCAUUGCAUAUAUAUACCAUAGUUUAUUUAUCCAAUCAUCUAUUGAUGGACAUGUAGGUUGUUUCCAUAUCCUGGCUAUUGUGAAUAAUGCUGCAUGGAGUGCAGAUAUCUCUUCAACAUACUGAUUUCAUUUCCUUUGGAGAAAUACCCAGUAAUGGGAUUGCUAGAUCAUAGGAUAUUUCUAUUUUUAAUUUUUGAUGAACCUCCAUAUUGUUUUCUAUAAUGGCUGUACUAGUUUACAUUCCCACCAACGGGGUGCAAGGGUUCUCUUAUACUUCACAUCCUCACCAACACUUCUUAUCUCUUGUAUUUUUGAUAGUAGCCAUUCUAACAGGUGUGAGCUGAUAUCUCACUGUGGUUUUGAUUUGCAUUUCUCUGAUGUUUAGUGAUGUUAAUAAGCAUUCUUUCAUAUAUGUGUGGGCCACUUUUAUAUCUCCUUGGGAGAUAUGUCUAUUCAAGCCCUCUGCCCAUUUUUCAAGUUGGGUUAUUUGUAUUUUUGCUAUUGAGCUGAAUGAGUUCUGAAAUACUAUUCUUAAUACCUUAAUUAAACCAUGGAUGAACACACAGGGGAAUCUCAGUAAGACUAAAAGAACUUCUUUAAGCUUAUAUAAACCUAAGAUUCUGCAGGUCAAUUAGGGAGUAACUGGCAAAGCAACAGAUGCCUCAUCAAAUGAAUUAAGUUGCCGGCCGCCGGACCACAAAUGACUGUUAAAGCAUCAGGCUGUCGUGACAAUGGGAGCGGGGAAGAGUUAAGUUGUUAUUGGUUUGCUCGUCAUUUCAGAGAAUCACACAUAGUCAAUGAAUUACACACAACACACACACACACACACACACACACACACACACCACUGUACUGUAAAAAUUCAGUGUCCAGGUAUUUGUAAGGAGACUGACUCAACAAUUUCCAUUGACUGCAUCCAUUAAUAAAACUCAGAAGAUGGCAUUAUUGUUCACCUCACCAGUCCAUUUUGUCAGAGAAGACACAGGCUAAGAUACAUCAAGAAGCCUUUUUAAGAAACACCAGGUCCCCUGAUGCUUAGGUUUAGUAGUGGGCACUCAAAUAUUAAAAGCAACCCACUAGAUAUGGAACCUGGAGUAUUAAUACAAUAUUUCAUACAUUUAAAAGUACUUUUGUUAGAGAAGACACAAAGGAUCACCAAUUAUUCAGAAUCGGUAACGAAACUCAUCCAUACCAAAUCCAAGAAGAGCUUUUUGUGAGUCAGAAGAAAGCAAAUUAUGAAUGUUUUAAGCCAUUUUCCUAAUGAGUAUGAUAGCUGGCAUUCUUGGUAGUUCUCUUGAUUUUGAGAGUACAUUAUGCUGAUGGCAUCAAAGACUAGCCACUAAUGAGUAUGUACAAACAAUAUAAAAAUUAAACUACUGGAUUUACAAUGUAAAAUGAUUUGUCAUAGAAAUCCUGUAUGGAUUUUCUAUUAUAAAAUCUUAAGACUUAAUUUCUUCAUAUCCCUAUGGGUUUUUUCCAGGCGCUCCGGCUUCCUCCCACAUCCCAAAGAUGUGCAUGUUAGGUAAACAGCCAUGUCUACAUUGUCCCAGUCUGAGCAAGUGUGAGUGUAUGUGUGAGAGUACUCCUGCAAUGGAAUGACAUCCUGUCUAGGGCUGGCGCCUGCCUUGCAUCCUGAGCUGCUGGGACAGACUCCGGCCACCCCAGACACUGAACUGGAAUAAGCGAGUUGGAAAAUGAAUGAAGGAAUGAAUACAAAUAAUUGUAAAAUAAAAAUGUGUACCACAAUGUACCACAAUAAACAAUGUGGGAUGAAAGCACUUGGCGAGCCCACCAAAUUUGUUAUUGGUUUUGAACUUCGUGGUGGGAGUAAGUGCUCCUUACGAGUUUCACUUUGCAAACAUUUAUUCCUUGAUUUAACCCACCACCACUACAACCACCAUCACUCGCUGUUUUACCAAAAACUGGGUACCGUUAGGGAAAUUCACAUUGUCGUGCAACCAUCACCACCAUCUAUCUCCAGGAAAUCUUCAUCGGCCUCAUCUCUCGGUCCACGUCCAACAAGCAGAAGGGACACCUCACUUUCAGGUCACCAACUAUCCUUCUCUGUCUCUGCUAGUGUGAGCAGGAGUUACAAAAGCAACAGGAAGAAAAAAGCUGCUGAGUUGGGAUAAUUCAAAAACAUGCCACUGGGAAAAUCAAAGGUUGAUAUGACAACAAAAGCAAAGGAAGAAUGUAAAAAUUUCACUUUGUAAAGAUGGCCAAAUAAUAAUAGGACAAAGACCAUGGUUGUAUACAAGACAGUGACUGGAAAUCUCAACUCCAAACAGCAGAAAAUGGAAAACAAGAGAUUUCCCAAAAAGUGCGGUACCCGAGGGUAUGAGCACACUUGAGUUUGGCAUCUACACAGGAAACGAGGUCAUUUCUUUUUCUCCUGAGUUAUUAUCAUCAAGGUCUCGACUCUGUAACAAAAUUUCACACUGGUUUAUCAAUAAAGUCUUAGGUGAAUUUUCAAAAGCUUCUGAAUAUAGUAAUAUAAAAUGACAAACUAUGGAAACUAUUGGAAAUCAUAAAGACCACGUGUAAGACUAGUUUCAAGAGGCUUAUGACAGAAUAAAUUCCACACUCUGGGGGCUUGGCACAACUUCUAUCCACAAAAGAAGACCACUCAUUUGUUCAAAGGCACCACCCCAAGACACACCAGCAAAUUCCUAUCAGUGGAUUCUCCUUUUCCUCACUGUAGUGUAGACACACCAUAUAUUCAGCAGUGCAGCCACAAAACCAUUCACUAAGUCUACAUAAAGUUCUAUGCAUUGUAAAUGCAUUUUAACAAAUAAUAUUCCUCUGUCUUAUGACAUCACAAAAGAUUCAACAAAACUCAGUCAAAUGAGAACAGGACCAGACAGCUCUUGUUCUCUAAAACAGGCUUCCACAGCUGCAUUUUCAGCUUUGCAUGAAGGAUUACCGCCUUCUUGCAUAAACUCCCAAAUUGGUGCAUGGAAAUAGAAAAUCAUACACACGAGUUGAGCAGCUCCGGCUCCAUUAACCAAUUUGCAUGCAAAAUCGACAUCAGCACUCUCUGGUCUAUUUUUUGCCUAUGUAAGAGAUGGCAUUUAGGAUGCCUUGGGAUUCUGCUUUUCAGAGGCAUUUUGGUUCCCACUAAAGAAAACGGGGUCCCUAAUGGUGUUUGGGGGCACAUGCACAUGUCCCUCCCAGCUGCCUUCUCAGGCAUUCCAGUGAAAAAGAGAAAAGUUUGAGAAUGAGAUCAAGUAAACAAUUAGGUGAGAGCCAAUGGUCAGGGGGAUGUUCUUCAGACUAAUACAACGAAGCAAUCAGGUGAAAAUCAUUUCUAAUUACACCCAGAAGAAAAAUACGAUCUAUCCACCGUUGGCACAAGAAGGGAAAGAUGGAUUUUUAAUCAGGCAAAGGAAUGUACUUUCUGGACUUGCCAGUGAUCACUUACUGAGAUGGGCCAUGGAGAAGUCUGGCCUUUGAGGUUACGCAUGAGGAUCUGAUAGGCAUUUGUGUGCUUAUAAGGAAUCUUUAGAUUUUCUCUAAUGUAUUAUUUCUUCCCUCUCUUCCUCUCUCCUUCUUUUCUCUCUUUUUUCUUUUCUUCCUCCCUUCCAUCCAGGGAGCCACCAGCCACAUGUGGCUAUCGAGCAUCUGAAAUGUGGCCAGUGUGAUUGAGAUGUGCCCAAAGUAUAAAUAAAUACACACAGGAUUUCAAAGACUUGGUAAAAAAAAAAAAAGUCUCCCAAUAAUAAUUUUUUAUUGAUUCCAUAUUGAAAUGAUAAAUUGUCUAAGAUAUUGGAUUAAAUAAAAUAUAUCAUGAAAAUUAACUUGCCUGUUUUUAUUUUUUAAUGUGGUUACUAGAAAAUUUUUCAAUGGCAUUCACAAGUCAUAUUGUAUUUCUAUUGGACUGCUCUGUCCUAGAACCUUUUGUUUUAAACAGAUGCAUUUUCUUACAGUCCAAAAAAAAACAUGAUCCCUUGUUGACUUUUAUGGAGGUGCCAAUUUAAUUCCUUUUUCAACAUUCUUUAGCUACAGCUAUGAGUUGAGGUCACUUCUUUUUCCCAAAAUAAAUCCAUAACACCAAGGAAUGGGGACAAGCUGUCACAACCCUUACAAUGUGGGAUCAAAAGAGUAACCUUCCUUGAAGCACAUUAAAUUUUUUUUCUUAACUAACUGUCGCUAUUCCAAAUUGGAGGAAAAAAAGUACAACUUUUUACUGCCUUCAUGUUUGAUGGUUUGCUCCCUGUGUCCCUUAAAUGCCUGCUCUUCAAGAAUCUCUAGUAACACAAUCACACUGCUUCUAAAAUGUUUACCUCUCAGGAGCCACUGCGUUCCCGACCUUCUUCUGCCCCAUUGGCAGGCCCCAAACAUCCUCCUGAGUCACAAGUCUCACCCCAUGCGGGGAUUACAGGCUGCGACUCACUGCUCUAGCAAAACUAGAAAUAACUGCUGGAGGCAAGCAGCCAGCCGGCAUCCCACAGAGAUUAUUCAUAGCAGAAAUAUCAAUAGACAGUAGGCCCUCCAGUUGGUUGUGUUGAGUCCCUGGAAAUGCUUUGUACUGAAUUUUCCAGAUGAUUUAUGUUAUGCUCCAGAAAGGCAACAUCUCCCUCACACACUUAAUAAAUGCAUCCGUGUGGUAUUAAUGUUUCAACUUAACAUAGUUUUCCCCUUCCUGUACUUUCUGGUCUGGUUCCUUGGGGAGUGGAGUGGGAAGGCUUCAUGAUAUCUGAAAUCCCCACAAAUUCAUACGAAAUGAGUAGGAUUAUUACUUUGUUUUAACCAGAGUGCAUUUUAUCUUAGUUCUAAAUUAUGCAGAUCCUAUUAGGCAAAUAAAGAACAGAAAUCUGGAAUUGAAUUAUAGGAGAGAAAGCUGAUUAUUCAUCAAAUCUGGCUCAGGCAGAUGGGUGGUGUAUUGGCUCCAGUUCCUAAUCUGGACCAGAUUACCUGGGUUCAAAUUUCAGUGCCAUCCCUUACUAGCCAUAUGACUUUGGGUGAAUUACGAAUGCUUAUGGGCCUCAAUUUUUGUCUACAGAGGAUAAAAAUAACACCUUUCUCAUCAGGCUGCUAUGAAGAUUGAGAUAAUGCACAUAAAGUCCUAGAACUGCACCUGGAACUGGUAACUCCUCCAUACACGGGAGCUGCUAAAAUCAUUGUUGUUAUCACCAUUAUGCAUAACCCUAAUCACUUCACACAUUGUUACUAACGUGACAGACUGUCAUGUCCACGAGUUGAUCCUUAAGUCUCGGAACCACUCCAGCUCUGCAUCAAUAUUCUUCAGCUUUCACAACUGACUUUGAUUUCUCAGUCAUUUCUGAAUGUGAGCCAAAAAUGGUCUAGAACAUCAAGACUCAGAAAAAUCAACGAGACAAAAGCCAUGCUGACAGACUGCUGCCUCUGAUUUGCACUGAACUCCACUACAGGCUGCUGAAGUACUUGUGGAAAGGGAUGUGAGGAGGAAGGGGCAGGGCGUGUCUGCAAUGGAACUGCAGAAGCCUAGAGAGCUGGUUCUAGAAAAUGGCCCCAUCUCUAGAAGUGACCAGGAAGCAGCAGGAGGAGGGCUGCAGGAGGCCCCAGGGAGGCGCAGCAGGGGAAAGAGGUGGAAUUGCGGCAGGAAUACAUUAAGGACAUAGCACACAAAGCAAAGGCAGAAGACAUGUCACCCCCAUCCUGACCACUCUCCAUGCCUGUCUUAAAUCCAUCCCAAUUUGUAAAAUUAAAUGUGCAAACAGAAAAUAUUUCUCUGAAAGAGUCAUAAAAUGUCAGCUUCUCCACUUUCCUUCCUAACCCACAAUUUUUAAUUUCCUCUACUAACUGCCAGAACAAGGGCUCAUAUCUUAAAUUCUCCUCCCACCUCAGGCCUGCCUUGCUUGCAGCUCUGUCUGGGAGCAUUUCAGGCAAAACAUUUAAAAUGAAAAAAUAAGCCCCAAAUGUCUAUCCUUAGCUAUGGCAUAGAAAGGGGAGGCUGAAGAGAUAGUGUCUGGCCACAUCCAGGUGCACAGAGGUGGUGGCCUCAGAGAAGGAAGGCAGGUAGGAUAAGAGCCUGAGGCCCAUCCAAGGGCUCUCUCCCACUGCACCAUGAUGCUGCAUGACCUGAAGUCCACCAGCAUCCUGUUCAGGUUAACAUGUCUCCCAUGUCUAUGCUCCCUCAGGUGGCUUCCACAGGCAAAUUAGCUUCAUCAAACAACACUAGGUCUUGGCCUGUCUCUACCUCCUGUCUCUAACUGCUCCUGAGGCAGGACAGGCACCCCAAACCAGGAUUAAAACAAUAAGUUUAACAAAUGCUAUAAAACUAAUCUAGUGUCUGUUCCACAACCUUCAGAGAAGGUGUUAUUUUGCCUUCUCUUACCUUUUCAUCAGACCCUGUUCUCAAGUCUCUUUCUUUCUUUUUUUUUUCCAUCAUAAGAAAACAAAGCCAAAGAGAUGGCUGGGAGAUGAGGGAGAGGGAUGGCAAAGACAGCUCCUAGGUCUCUGGUUUGCAUGGACCUGAACAGAUAGUGGUGACUUUCACCACUUGGUUUUGGUCCUGUUGACUACAGAGGGCCUCUGUGAUAUCCCAGAGGAAACAUUAGUCAGGCCAUUAAUAUAGGAUCUUCAGCUCAAACGGAGAACUCUGGACUGGGGAUAGAAAACGGAGGCUCACGUACCUGUGCAUAAAUGCUCACUAAGGUCAGGGGCUUGGAUAAACUCUCAUUAUGAGAAAACAUGCAGACAGAAGAUCAGGUCUCCAGCCAAGAAUUACCAAACUCUCAAUAGUUAGUGGCUGAGCGCAGAUGGGCAGAUCUGCAAAGGAGGCAGAGGAGCAGCCCGAGAGACAAGAAGCAAAGCAGAAGAGUGCUGUCCUAGAAGUCAAGGGAAGACGGAACAGCAGAACGUCUCAUCAGUGACCUCCUCUUACCCACCACGUCAGAUCCCCCAAAGCCUUCAUUCCUUCCAGGACACAUGGUAGAUGCCCCUGCAUGCUGGACACGAAGUCUAAUAGGGCACUCUCCAGUACACCCAUGACUUUCUGCUUCAUUAGCUGGCUUGUAGGCUAACCAACAGCUGGCUAGGUGUAGUCUCAAACCUGUUUAUGCCAGUUGCACUGGUUAUAAUGAAUAAGCCUAAUCAAAUAUUAUAUGAAUACAAACUAAAAUAGAGUGGUCCCCUCUUCUCCACAGGGGAUAUGCCUGAAACCACAGAUAGUAAAGAACCCAAUUGCUGCCAAUCAGAGCACAUUUCUCUUCGUGUCUUCCACCUAAAAAUUUAAUGCCUUUUUCAUCUUCACUAAGCACAUGUCAUGCACUGUGGCCAUAACUUUUGCAGCCUGAGGUGUGACAGCAAAACUACUAGCGUGAUUUUUUUUUCCUUCCUCACAAUUUCAUAGAUGGAAGAUUCAUUCUUACCUUAGAUCUUAGCAACUUCAGCAUAUGAGUUUUCUUCUUUCUCACUUAAAGGAAGCUCUUUACAGCUUCAUUUUGGCAUAUCCGAAUUGCCAGCAUCACUAGCUUUGUGCUUUGGGGCCACUGUUGAGUAAAAUAAGGGUGACUUGAACACAAGCAGUUCUAUCCCAAGACAGUGGAACUGAUCACUGAGUGGCCACUAAGUGAGUAAUGGGUGGGUAUAUUAUGGACAGCAUGGAUGCACAGGACAAAUAGAUGAUCCACGUCCUGGGCGGAAUAGAGCAGGAUGGCACGAGAUUUCACCAUGCUACUCAGAAUAGUGAGUAAUUGAAAACUUAUGCAUUAUUUCUAGAAUUUUUCAUUUCAUAUUUUGGAAACACGGUUGACUAUAGGUAACCAAAACCACAGAAAAUGAAACCAAGGAUAAGGGGGAACUACUGUACAAACAGUGAAUGAGAGUUAUUCAUAAGAAGCCAAAGAUUCUAAAGAAAACUAAAAAAAAAAUAAUAGCUGUCAAGGUAGAUGAAGGUAAGGAUAUAAUAGAAGGCGAAGGGAAAAGUAAUUUUAAAAUGUGCGGGGUUACAUUCAGAUACCUUUGUAAACAUCUAAAGUCUCCCUCCAUCUUCACAAUGUUGAUUGAAAUGCUUAGCUACUGUAUCAUGGGUUUAUGCCAAAAGAUGACGCAGAGCUAGUCAGCAGAAACACUGUCAAAGACCACAGCUCUGCACCUAAUGAUGGGCAGAUGAACGUUUGUUUUCAAUGAAUUCACUGUGAAAACACAAUCAGUUUUGUGUUUUAAGCUAAAAUAAAAUGUUUACAAUAUAUACCUUUUAAAAAAUAAUUCCCUGUUCCAACCAACCUUUUUGAUUUACUGACCAAUUAUGGUCUCAACUGUGACAGUGAAGGAGUGGUCAGUGUUGCCAGGCCCUUCAGUAAGAUGAGGAAUGGAAGACAUCCACUGGAUUUAGAGAUCACUGGGAGUGGAGAAAUGCAACCAAGUCAGGCCGAAGACAGUCAACUGUUAUGUGACAAUAUCACAAGCCGUUCUUCCCUAUCAAGUUCUUUUGCACUUAGUGUUUCAGAAUUUAAAUGCUGCUUUUUAAUCUCCUUUUUUGAGCAAAUGGUUUCAAUGUAUUUUACAGCAGAAAAAGCCCUUAAAAAUGAGAAUGAGGAUGAUGAUGAUGAUGAUAGAAGUAUUAUGGAAAUAAUAUGAACAACAGUAACAAUGAUAGCUACCUUCCAUUGGACAUAUAUUGUCCACCAGACAUUGUUUUAUAUGCUUUACAAGCAUCCUUGCUUAAUUCUCAAUCUCUCAGCUAUGUACUAUUAUUAUCUCCAUUUUAAAGAUGAGAAAACUCUGGACCAGAGAAGUUGAGUAAAUUUCCCAAGCCUGCAGAGCCACUAAGGGUUGAACCUGACAUUCAAACCCACGCAUUCAGAGCCUAUGCUCUUAACCUCUACACUAUGAAUUCUCCCUAAUUAACUAAGCUAAUGUUCUCAUUCUAUAGAUCAUAAAAUGAUGUCCAGAGGGAUUAAACAAUUGGCUAAAGAGACAUAGCAGUACCAGGACUAUAGAAGACACCCUCAGAUCCCAAUCCUAUGCUUUUUCUACUAUACCACAGUAGUGCAGCAAGUGAAUGUAGCAAGAUCAGAACAAAAUGACUCUUAAAAACCAACAAACGACACCUCCUUGCUUCUACACAGUUGUGUGCCUCCAAGAUGUUCCUUGCUUAAGGACUUGUUUAAGUUCCAUCAAUAGUCAGCUUCUUGGGCUCAGGUUUUCUUUGAAAGGUUGAUUACAGCGAAGAAAAACAAAGCCUUUUAAAAAUGUAAUGUUUAUUUCCUCAGUGAAUUUAGUGGUAUAAUUGUAAUUGGAAAAAAAUAAAGCAUGAACGUAUGUAACGUAUUUACUGCUAUGGGAGUCUACAAUGGAAGAACCAGAAAAAUAAGAAUAGUUACACAGUGGUUACAAAUAUCAAGCAUAAACCAGACAUGCUUAAUUUCAGGGUAUGAUACAAGAAAAUAAAUGAAGCAAAUAUUUAAAGCAAAUUCAACUUUCCAAUUUUAAUUUUAAAAGUGUUAUUCAAAGACAUUUAUAAAGAGAGAGUGAUAUAAUUAAGGCAAGCAAAAUGCAAAUAAUGCAAAUAAUGCAAAAUGCAAAUAACAUGUUAUUGACCUUCUCCAUAUCCCAGGACUUCCUUCCCACAGUGCAGAAAUGGAAGGCAGAAGACAAAAGUCAAAGCCAGGGGUGAACAGGACAUGAUGCCAGACCUCUACAAGGAGUAUGAGCUCCACCAGAUCUGAGCUUCCCUAGAUGACAAGGCUGCCACUGUAACCAGGUCUCCUUAGUCACCUUCUGCUCUCCUAAUGAGAGUCAUUUCCAUAGAUUUUAAUAGUUUCUAUCACAAUGAUGAUUUUCUAAAAACCCACUCUUAUAUAUCUUUACAGGGUCAAAAUUUAAUAGGAAUUGCCAAAUUGCCCCACAUUGGUCUUAUCAAUUCACAGUCCAUCUAUGGAGUGAGACCAUGCCGUGCUGACUUCUCAGCAAAGUGGCAGCUGGUGAGCACACCUGCAUCAGGAUCAUCUAGGGGUGGGAAGAGUGUGUUUACAUUAGGAAUGCAGGUCCCAGGCUAUCCCCAGAUCUACUAAAUCAGACCUGCAUUUCAAUAACCAGGGCCAUUGACUUGUUUGCUCACUCAAGUCUGAGGACGAUUGUGUGAGAGGCUGCCUGGAGCCACGUCUGGAGAAAGACUGUGAAGCCAAGGGUGAGCUCACUGGGAAACAGUUCCCAAUCAAUUCAUAAUGCCUGCAUGGUGGCAGGAAUGGGGGAAUUGGGUAGAUGGAUACAUAAGACACAAAUCUCUCCUUUCUCCUCUCCUCCUCAUUCCCUAACUGCUUAGAGAAUUCCUACUCAUCCUUCACAACUCUUUCUAGAAGAGACUUCUUCAACCUAUACACCAAGGCCUCCCUCCUUGUGUCAAGGCACCAUCUAGCACUCACCAUCACAGUUUUCUGGCGUGUCUCCCAGGGAAGGCAGGGACUUUGUCUUGUUCAUUUUCUUCUCCUCACAACUAGCUUUUUGCCUAGUCCAUAACUAGAAUUCAAUAAAUCCUUAGCAAAUGACUACGUGAUUGAAAAAACAAAAACAAAGGAUAGAGCAAAUACAGAACCAGUUACUGGGAAGGACAAGACAGCAAAACCCAGCCUCCUCCUCUCCACCAUGCUGUCUCCCAUGAAGAUCCCAGGUCUUCCAAGGGUAAGGAAAAACAGGCUGAUAAAUGAGGGCUGGCGGCCAGCAACCCUCCCACUGCAGCCAGGCUUUGUCUCCACGCCAUAAACACCUCCUUGCUCACAAGAGUUGGACCCUGUUGGGAUCAGCAAACAGCUGCAGCAACAGCAGCAUAUGACCUGCCCAGUUUGUUUAGGUGGCGUGUGUUUGUGAGGAGCAUUUGCUCUGUGGUGUUUUUCUAUAACGAUUACGUGGAGAAAUGAUGUUAUUUUCAGGGGGUGAGGAAUACCAAAGAGGCUUAUUUGGCAAAAGCCACAAUCUGUUCACUUCUACUUUGUGUGCGUAUGUGAAAAUCCUCACGCUAGUAGCCAGGAUUUUUCAAAUCCACUGGGAAGAGACUCCAAAAACAGGUUGGGGGCAGGAAAACAAAACCCUAGGAUGACAAGCAUGCAAAUUAACACUGAAACCAGGCAAAGGACUAGUCCUGACAGAUGAAAACACUCAAGCCAGCUGUAUGUAAGGAUUAGGAAAAUUCUAAAUAGGGGAGCAUUCUGCCCACAAGUUUUGUUAGGAGAGGACAUUAACACCAGUCAUUUAUGGUCCUCAAAGCCCAGUAUAUUGGUGUUGGGGGUGGAGGUGUCUGCUGUGUUCAAAGGACAGUGGCACUGAAAACUCAGGACUCAGAGACACUCUCUUCUUAACUCCUCAAGCUCUCAGAUAACCAACUAGUAGAGUCAAAAUAAUCUAAUCAUGGACUAUUAAUGCACAUGGCAAAAACUCAACGGAUAUCCUAGUCAACAUAAUUCUACAUCGGCUGUUCUGUCAAGAUGAUAAUGAAACAUCAGACAAUCUGUGAGAACAUGAUGCCAAGAAGAAAUACAAAUUGGGCUCCUCCAUUCCUCAUGGAAAUUAGAAGAUUCUAAACUAAUCAAUUAGUUUCACAUCCCCCGACACCUCCCUCCCACCGCCCCCACCCCCGUCUCUGCAUUAUCAUUCCACUUCAUGAAAUUUCCUGGGAAUCCACUUACUAUUCUGUGAUCAAGGACAGCAAAUGAAAAUCAAGUUCUCUGCAGAACAUGAGCGAAACUUUACAUUGUAAUGUAAAAUGAGCUGAUUAAGGGCACUUAAUCCAAGAACAGCUAAUUCUUAAGACCUCGAAGCAGAGUGGAUGAAAUGUCAGGAAGGAGGAAUGCAGCCGGGUUCUAAUCACACAGAAAAAUGGAUUCCGGCACUCGACAGGCUGCCUUAUUAACAAUUACAGUAACCAGGGCUGUUCUUUUCAAAAGAAUGCCUAGCAAGUUAGAAUAAAGACCCCAUCUUCGGAGAUCUGUGGUAGAAAGUAUACCCCUCUUUUUAGAAAAUAAGGUACUCCAGCCUCUGGGAGCAUCCUAAAAGAUGAGAGGAAACUCAAGGAGAAUGGUUUAUCUUUCUGAAUGGUUUAUCUUUCUAAUUUCAUCUCAUUCAACUUCUUACACAUUGGAAGGUGAUUGUAAACUCAGGUAUGUUAGGAAUAAGUUUAUUAUUAAAAAGUAAUAAACACCCUCCGCUGACCAAACUCUUAGAAAAGGAUUACAGAACCACUUUUCACUUUGAAAAAUUCUUGAGGACCCCCCUAAGAACUUUUGUUUAUGUGGGUUACAUCUAUCUAUAUUCUUCACGUUAGAACAUUUAAAACUAAGACAUUUUAAAAAUAAGAAUAUCCAAGCACAUAUUAAUUAGUGAUGAUACCAUCAUGGGUCGUGUAGCCACAGGAAAACUCCAUUGCACGCUUGUCAAAGAAUAAGAGUGGAAAAGGCGAACAAAGGUCUUAGUAUCAUUUUGAAAAUAGUUGGGACCUUAAGAACUCCCAGGGGUCCCCAGACCACUCUGAGAACCACUGACCUAGAGUCAUGUCUGGUUGACAUAGAAAUGUGUUAGAGUUAUAGAGAGGUCAACUCUUUCAAGAACCACUUCUGUCA